ensembl:lncRNA
AUUCAUAGUUUUAUUGUAUCUUUUUAUAAUACUGACUAGAACGCCAGAUUUAAUAAUAUUGGAUGCAGGUAUAAAAAUAAUCCAAUCCUUAAAAAUUAUAUUUUGCUACUACAGUACUGUAUAAUUAGUAGAGGCAGAAAAUAUGAUACAACUUUAAAUAAUACUGGUUUGGAGAAUGUCCUUAGAACCCCAGCAACUUGGAAGCGAACAUUCAGAGCUACAGAGAAGGAAGCACGACGAUGGGAAGAACAUGAAGCAGGCUGACUGAGGAAGCACAAAUAAAUGCUUAAAAUUCAGCUUUUGAAAGAGACCUCACUAAAGGUGAGCGUUACUACCACGGUUCUGAAUGCUGUUAAAGAAACUGUGGUGACUUUACAUAUAAAAUUUUGGUUUCUGCUAGGAGAACAUCCUGCAGAAUGUAACGGGGCUUAAAACAAGUGAUUGAGUUUAGUAGGAAGAAUUACACGCUUAUUCUGUUUUGUGGUGGUUGUUUUCUUUCCUUAAAGUAAGUUAUCCGUACUGAUGGUUUCUAUAACAGACACGUCAGGCAAAUUUUGUGGCACUGCUCAAGAAAACUGACCACUUUUUACCAGAUUCCCCAGGCCUUUUCCAUGUGGGGCUGUGCAGAUUUGGGGCCACUUGCUGUGGUACUACCCAAGCAAGACUCCCAUCCCUUCCAGCAUUUUACCAGAAUGAAGACCAAUGGACUCAGCACUCACACAUGACUUCUGAAGAACGUCAGGCACCCUCUCUCAGUUUUCCAUCAACAAGGAUAUUAUCACACAAAACACAAACCGCGCAGGAGAGGUGUUAUCUCGCACAUGACCUUACAGCACAGAACCCUUUCAAAACCGGGAGAUCUUGUUUCAUUUCUGAAAGCACAAAUAUGUGAACUGACAGGUAGUUCCUAACUGUGAGUGCACGAAUCACCUCUACAUCCCUGGAGAUCUUACACUAGGGGAAACAGGUCGGCUGAACAUGUAAUUCACAUACAUUCUCUUCUCAGGAAGGCAUUUCAGAUCUUGAACAAUCUGUUUGUUCAAUCUUACAUAAUACAGGCUCUGUUACAGUAAUAAGGACACAUAUGAAAAAUAAAUACGACGUGGAAAGGCAGCAACAAUAUCACCGAAAUGGGCGGAACACAGAGCUGCAGGAAGGCAUGGUGUACACACAAGUGACCCUGGCAAGGGAAUAAUUCAGGCCUAAAAUACUCCACUGCAAUGCAUGGGAGAGUUUUCCCAGUCACCAGAGUGGAUGCUGGGUUGGGUCCUUUUGUGUAAAGAGGGGAAAAACAAUAGUCAGCAUAGGAAGAACAUUUAAGUAAAAUGCAUCUGUUCUUGUUAAUUUAAGGAAAAAAACUAAACGCCGCUAUGAGAGAAUGAGAAGUCCAGAUGGAUUUGGAACAGAUAUGGCCACUGACCAGCAUUAGAGACACGUCCUGGGAAAGCUCUUUCUUUACAAGGCUACAUCAGUGUCCAAACUCAUGCUGCUGCUCUGUCAAGCCUCAGCAAACAACCUUUGUAAGUAUCAGCACCGUUUUGCAAUCGCAACACCUCUCACUAAAUUCAUUUCAUUGCUAUUUUUAGAAAGGGUUGGGUUUUUUUUUUCUUCUUCUUCUGUUGCUCACAGUGAAGGCAAAACACUUUUAGUGUCUCUGUAAAUGACCGCAACAGGGGAACUUUCUGGGAUAUGCUGCAAUGGAAACAAGAUUCAUUGCUGUUCUUUUACGUAGUGCUAUAAACACAGAGGGCAAAAGACAUACAAAUAUCCCCAUCCCCAUGUUCCUCAUACAGCCAAAUUCAGUGCUUUGAGGUUUCAGUGGCGUGCAAAAGACCCCUGGUUAUCCAGUGCAGCGUGGGAGGGCCGGCCAUGAUGAGCAGGGAGCAGGACAGGGAUGCAGGAAGGCUGCAGCAUCCCUUUACACUGACCCCUCCAAUCUGCCUUGUUCUGCUCUGUUCACUCUGACCCACUCUCCCAGGCUGACUGCUGGGGGGGCAUUUCUAUGAGUGAGGGGCUUUUGUCAGUAGAAGUGGUAGAGCACCACAGCAUCAAACGCAUGCUUCCUACAUCCUUUCCUGUCGUCAGCUGAAUUAGCACUUUUUUUCCCCCAAAGACUCCCACACACACCACCUGUGGGCCCUUGCUGACAGCUCACCUGGCUCUACACAGCAGCCAGAAGCACAAACAGAUUCCCUGUCAUGUCGGUGUGGUUUUCCCUCCUUUCCCCACACCCAGCUGAGCCACUUGCAGUCUCCUUGCAUGAAACCUGCUAUUUCCAUCUUGUCCUCCUGGAUAGCAGAGUGAUUCCCCUUGGCGGAGGCACCCAGUAUGCUCAAAAUCUGCAAUCUGGGCAAGCUAAAGGCAAUCUAAACAGCCUGAGUUGCAUUUGCUUAGGCAUCCUAGGAGGAGUUAGGUGCUAAACGCAGGGGCACCCGCAUUUGAAAGUGGGCUUUGGGGAGUGAUAUUCCACAUGGAGACUCAUAUCCAGCAGGAUCAACAAAACCCAAAAGCACUGCCACAACUUAUCCUGCACAGUAAGUGUAAGUGCCUGCACUGACCUCAGGGUUGGCACCUGCCUCAAUCCUGUCCUCCUGGGGCACCCAUGGAAGGUGCUGGCAGGUCAGGAGAGACCCUUUCCUUCCUCCUGUGGGCUGUGCAUUGGAUCAUUUGAAGCUGCAACAGAUUAAUCUCAUAAUAAUUACCCCAACAUUUACUUGCUCUGGCAGAGAGAGAAUUUCAGUGCAAUAAAGUUUGUUCUCUUGGAAAAAAGCCAGGUUUUGCAGUCCUCACUCAGAAAACCCUGCUGACUUUCUUGAGACCCUUUCAUUGCACUAAGAAGAAUUUGAAAGGUCAUUAAAAAAAAUGAAUUCUGUAAUCUCAGUUAGGAAUAAUCGUAUCACAUUUCCCACUCAAAUCACUGACAAUCUGCAAUUUGCAGUAAAAUGACACAGAUUGGAGUUUUGCUCACAUAACCCAUAUGUUACUCCUUAUGUAGAAGAAUCGAUCUGCAUUUGUCCUUUGGUAUUUCACACUUUGUUCUUCUCACCUGGCACACAAAGGAACAUUUCACAGCCUUCAAACUAAACAAGCAAUUAAUCACAGCAGGUGUAAGCAAAGCUCCACACUCUUUCCUGUCUGAGUGUCAUGCAGUUGAAUCCUACCAUCAUUGCUGGAAUUUGCUUAUGUUUUUGUUAGGCUGCUUCAGCAAACACAGACAAAUCCCAGUGCUCAUCUAUGUGCUCUGGAUUUAGAUCCAGCACCAAGUCCCAGCUUCCCCUUUCAUUUGUAACAGAGACAAAGCUUUCAUAAGCUUUCAUCUGUCCCAUGAUAGAGGCAGCCCCUUCUGUCCUAGGCACUCUCACAACCAGAGCUGGUGUUGGGUGAAAGAGGCAGCUCACCCUCAUGGGAAUGACCCCAAUAAUGUCCUCUUUGAAGGGCCCCAGAGCAUAGCAGGGCCAAGGCCUUGCUUCAUACCAUCCAGUGGACUCUGUGCAAUUAAGAUAUUGGCUACUAACGAUGGGGAGAAUAACAUCUUUCUCAGUUUGAAAACACUGGGAACAGUUAAUUCUUGUGCUUUGCCUGUUUUGAAUACUGGAACUUGAAUAUAGCUCCUUAAAUAUAGCUCCUUCAGCAGCAUAAGCAUCCAUUCAUUUCCACCCUACAUUUGAGAUAAGCCUGCAAAUUUGAUUAUGGAUUCAGUCACAUGCACCAUGACCAU